AGUGUAGAUUCAGAGUUUGAUCCUGGCUCAGAACGAACGCUGGCGGCAGGCUUAACACAUGCAAGUCGAGCGGGCCCUUCGGGGUCAGCGGCAGACGGGUGAGUAACACGUGGGAACGUACCCUUUGGUUCGGAACAACUCCGGGAAACUGGAGCUAAUACCGGAUAAGCCCUAACGGGGAAAGAUUUAUCGCCGAAGGAUCGGCCCGCGUCUGAUUAGCUAGUUGGUGGGGUAAUGGCCCACCAAGGCGACGAUCAGUAGCUGGUCUGAGAGGAUGAUCAGCCACACUGGGACUGAGACACGGCCCAG
rnacentral:rRNA from 1 species